rnacentral:rRNA from 1 species
AUUGAACGCCGGCGGCAUGCUUUACACAUGCAAGUCGAACGGCAGCGGGGUAGUGCUUGCACUACUGCCGGCGAGUGGCGAACGGGUGAGUAAUAUAUCGGAACGUACCGAGUAAUGGGGGAUAACCAAUCGAAAGAUUGGCUAAUACCGCAUACGUCCUGAGGGAGAAAGCGGGGGAUCGCAAGACCUCGCGUUAUUCGAGCGGCCGAUAACUGAUUAGCUAGUUGGUGGGGUAAAGGCCUACCAAGGCGACGAUCAGUAGCGGGUCUGAGAGGACGAUCCGCCACACUGGGACUGAGACACGGCCCAGACUCCUACGGGAGGCAGCAGUGGGGAAUUUUGGACAAUGGGGGCAACCCUGAUCCAGCCAUGCCGCGUGUAUGAAGAAGGCCUUCGGGUUGUAAAGUACUUUUGUUAGGGAAGAAAAGGGAAGUGCUAAUACCACUUUUUGCUGACGGUACCUAAAGAAUAAGCACCGGCUAACUACGUG